rnacentral:rRNA from 1 species
CUACGGGAGGCAGCAGUGAGGAAUUUUCCGCAAUGGGCGAAAGCCUGACGGAGCAAUACCGCGUGAGGGAUGAAGGCCUAUGGGUUGUAAACCUCUUUUUUCAGGGAGGAAAAAAAUGACGUGUACCUGAAGAAUAAGCAUCGGCUAACUCCGUGCCAGCAGCUGCGGUAAGACGGGGGAUGCAAGUGUUAUCCGGAAUUACUGGGCGUAAAGCGUCUGUAGGUGGUUUAAUAAGUCAACUGUUAAAUCUUGAGGCUCAACCUCAAAAUCGCAGUCGAAACUGUUUGACUAGAGUAUAGUAGGGGUAAAGGGAAUUUCCAGUGGAGCGGUGAAAUGCGUAGAGAUUGGAAAGAACACCAAUGGCGAAGGCACUUUACUGGGCUAUUACUGACACUGAGAGACGAAAGCUAGGGUAGCAAAUGGGAUUAGAUACCCGAGUAGUCUG